ACUCCUCCAAAUUGGGGAAAACCUAUGCAAAAGCAAAUUGAUUAUCUCACAGGCCAUGAAUUGAUAAUGGUAUUAAAGAAUAGUAUAUAGACAUAGAAGAUUUUCCAUUUUCUAUUUCUGAUGUAUUACAGGCAGAUUUUCUCAGCUAAUCUUAAUGAAUUUCUUGUUACUUCUUAAAAAUGAAAUGAUUUAAACCAACAGAAGGGAAAUUAUAACAUGCAAUAAAAUCCACAGAAGGGAAAUGACGUCAAGACCAUUGACUUUAUAACAACUUUUUUCUCAAGUAUAAAUUUGAAAUUAAUAUAAUGGCAGUCAAGUUUAAUUUUCAUUCUAUUAUUUUGAAUUUAUUUUAUUUUAGUGAUUAAUAUUAAAAAGUAUUUUUGCAUUUUAUA
rnacentral:misc_RNA from 1 species